AUCUUCAGUCAUACUGCACUGAGUGACUUGGAUCUUAUCUCAUCUCAGAAGCUAAGCAAGUUCCAGCCCAGUGAGUAUUUGGAUGGGAGAUUGCCUAAAACUACUGAAUGUUGUAGACU
rnacentral:rRNA from 1 species